GGCCCUACGGGGCGCAGCAGGCGCGAAAACUUUACAAUGCGGGAAACCGUGAUAAGGGGACACCGAGUGCCAGCAUCAUAUGCUGGCUGUCCGGGUGUGUAAAAUACACCUGUUAGCAAGGGCCGGGCAAGACCGGUGCCAGCCGCCGCGGUAACACCGGCGGCCCGAGUGGUGAUCGUGAUUAUUGGGUCUAAAGGGUCCGUAGCCGGUUUGGUCAGUCCUCCGGGAAAUCUGACGGCUUAACCGUUAGGCUU
rnacentral:rRNA from 1 species